rnacentral:rRNA from 1 species
AGAGAGAGACAUGCGCGCAUAUCAAUAAGCGGAGGAAAAGAAACUAACUAGGAUUCCCUCAGUAACGGCGAGUGAAGCGGGAAGAGCUCAAAUUUGAAAUCUUCAAGGUUCUACCUUGACGAAUUGUAGUUUAGAGAAGUGUUUUCUGUUGGAGUUUUGGUAAAAGUUCUUUGGAAUAGGACAUCAUAGAGGGUGAGAAUCCCGUAUUUGACCAUUAUUUCCAGCUUUGUGAUACACUUUCAAAGAGUCGGAUUGUUUGGGAAUGCAGUCCAAAAUGGGUGGUAAAUUUCAUCUAAAGCUAAAUACUGGCUGAGAGACCGAUAGCGAACAAGUACCGUGAGGGAAAGAUGAAAAGAACUUUGAAAAGAGAGUUAAACAGUACGUGAAAUUGUCAAAAGGGAAGCGUUUGACACCAGUGUUGUUUUUCUCGAAAAUCAAUUAAAAAAGGCAGGAUUUUGUGUUGUAUUGACUUUAUCAGCUUUCUGCAGCUCUUUUCUUGUCUUUUUUAAUGCACUUUUCGUUUAACAAGUCAACAUCAAUUUCUUUUGUUGUAAAAGGGUCAUUGGAAGGUGGCUUUCUUUUCGGAGAAAGUGUUUAUAGCCUUUGGCCUCUGCAAUCGGAGAGAUUGAGGUCUGCAGCGUAGAUCCUUCGGGGUUAGAUACAUUUGUGCUAAGUUAUAGCCUUUCAUAGACAACUUGUUGACUAUGAUCAGUCAUGUAGCUUACUCGCUUAUGCUAUUUUACCUACGCUUAGGAUGUUGAUGUGAUACUGCGAGCA